CAUCACCUUUGUAGCACAUGGAUCGAUCACAGACUCCAUGAUAUCAGCCAACUGUUUGCUGCCUCUGUCCAAAAUCACUGAUGUGGUCCUGUACUCUCCCUGGAACUGUGCCAUCGAUGCUAAAGUAGCCUACGGUGUUGCUACAGGACUCAUAGAGCCUCAGCACAGAGUUUUCAGCUGUGAAACUCCUGAUCAGGAACGUUGUUGCUGCUGUCAUUGUCGCUCCUGUAGAAAUAAAAAAGUCUGUGAAGUUCCUGAUGCAGAUCAUCAACCCACAAAACGUCCAGAUGAGUGGAACUCCAUGAAGAAGGCUGGAGAUCGAAAGAUUCCUAACAUCAUGCUGCGUCCACUACGACAACGCAAGGACGGUGCUUGGAAAAAUUUUGAGAUUCUCAAGGAUAAGUAUUGUGAACCUGAGGGAAACCGCAUCAUUGUCCCAUUUAUCUUCCCAGGGAGGAGAAAAGAAGAAGUCCCAUUCUUUGUUGUCUCCUUGGCUCUGUCUCAGGUGCUCCUGUUCUCCAGGUUUCAAGCCACACUCCAUCUCACUGCCUGUUUGGGAAAAAUAUCCAGAGAAAUAAAAAUUGAUGAAGACACCCUGAAGGAGCAGUAUGCCUGCACCAUCGACAGCACAAGAAUGACAUCUUCACAAGGUGACAACCCAAGGUCCCCUCCUCUACUCACUCAUCAACUCAUCAGGUACAGCUGCCUCUCUGUACCAUCAACACAAGGAAAGCAGCCGGUCCUGAUGGAGCGCAUGGAUGCUUGCUACAGGCCUGUGCUAACCAAAUAACAGAGGACAAUUCUGGAGAAGAUGGGCCUGCAGGGGAAAGUCACCCUCUUGCAGGCCAGAAGACAUGAGAUAACUUUAAAGAAUACAAAGAUUGCAAGUAUCCAGGCUCAGGAGAGGGGGUCAAGAAACAGAAACCUGAGUUUUCC
ensembl:lncRNA